UUCUAAGCGAUGUUGAUGGUGUUGGACAUUACUUAAGGAAUCAAGCCGCCCGCUUGAAGAAAACAUUUUGAACUGACUGAAGAAUGGACUCACCUUUGGUAAAAAACGGUGUACCGACUGAUGGCGACUUAGAAGAAUUGGCCCGAGAUAUUGAUCUUGAUUGGAAAGUACUAGGGCGUCAGUUGAGGUUGGCCGAGGUAAUGCUAGAGAAGAUACAUGGGGACGAAAGGCGUAGGCAUGAAGAAGGAUUCCGCAUGUUGAUGAUUUGGAAACAAAAAAUGGGUGCUGAUGCGAAUUACAGGACUUUGUUUGAGGCUCUGACCCACAUACUCAUAAAGCGUAAAGACCUGGCUGAAAAGUAUUGCA